AUUUAUUCUUAAGCUGUUUUUGUCAGGGGUGGAUGAGUUUCUCAUUCUCGAGUUGAAAUGAGACUUUUAAAUAUUCCUAAUAACUCUCUUAUCGCCAGACGCUCUGCAUGAGACACCAAGGUUUGUUGAAUUUUACAUCCCUCAAGAAAUAGCUGUGGCUCAAAGGCAGACAGCUUUGGGUAGAGGCACAUGACAGCAGCAUCGGAGAAAGCUAGUCAGCAGUGGCAGCUGCAAGGCAACAGACCAGGACCAGUCCUGCCGCUGUUGUAGAAGACAUGUGGUGUAUAUAAAGUUUGUGAUCGUUGGCGGAAAUUUUGGAAUUUAGAUAAUGGGCUGUGUGCAAUGUAAGGAUAAAGAAGCAACAAAACUGACGGAGGAGAGGGACGGCAGCCUGAACCAGAGCUCCGGGUACCGCUAUGGCACAGACCCCACCCCUCAGCACUACCCCAGCUUCGGCGUGACCUCCAUCCCCAACUACAACAACUUCCACGCAGCCGGGGGCCAAGGACUCACCGUCUUUGGAGGUGUGAACUCUUCGUCUCAUACGGGGACCUUGCGUACGAGAGGAGGAACAGGUAAGCUCCCAAAGUCACAGAGCACGGAGAGGGGGCAGCUGCCCUUAAAUCUUUUGGCAGUUGAACAUCUGGGUUCCCAUCACUUCCCUUUGACUAGGGGUUUCACAUGUAAGUUUCUAAUCUGUCUCCUCUACUAGAUGAGGGGCUG
rnacentral:sRNA from 1 species